rnacentral:rRNA from 1 species
AAGGUUUUCGGAUCGUAAAACUCUGUUGUUAGGGAAGAACAAGUGCCGGAGUAACUGCCGGCACCUUGACGGUACCUAACCAGAAAGCCACGGCUAACUACGUGCCAGCAGCCGCGGUAAUACGUAGGUGGCAAGCGUUGUCCGGAAUUAUUGGGCGUAAAGCGCGCGCAGGCGGUCUCUUAAGUCUGAUGUGAAAGCCCACGGCUCAACCGUGGAGGGUCAUUGGAAACUGGGGGACUUGAGUGCAGAAGAGGAAAGUGGAAUUCCACGUGUAGCGGUGAAAUGCGUAGAGAUGUGGAGGAACACCAGUGGCGAAGGCGACUUUCUGGUCUGUAACUGACGCUGAGGCGCGAAAGCGUGGGGAGCAAACAGGAUUAGAUACCCUGGUAGUCCACGCCGUAAACGAUGAGUGCUAAGUGUUAGAGGGUUUCCGCCCUUUAGUGCUGCAGCAAACGCAUUAAGCACUCCGCCUGGGGAGU